CUCGUAGGGUGCACUGACCCCGUUGGGGGCUGGGGUGCCCACUCCGCAAGUUAUCACUGAGCGACUUCCGGUCUGUGAGCCCCGUCCUCCGCACCCCACCUUUCCGCCGCCUAGAG
rnacentral:precursor_RNA from 1 species